AACGAUUUUAUGGACCCA
rnacentral:misc_RNA from 1 species